GACGAACGCUGGCGGCGUGCCUAAUACAUGCAAGUCGAGCGGACUUGACAGAGCUUGCUCUGUUCAAGUUAGCGGCGGACGGGUGAGUAACACGUGGGCAACCUGCCCUGCAGAUUGGGAUAACUCCGGGAAACCGGGGCUAAUACCGAAUAACAUUGAAAACCUCAUGGUUUUCUUUUAAAAGGCGGCUUCGGCUGUCACUGCAGGAUGGGCCCGCGGCGCACUAGCUAGUUGGUGAGGUAACGGCUCACCAAGGCGACGAUGCGUAGCCGACCUGAGAGGGUGAUCGGCCACACUGGGACUGAGACACGGCCCAGACUCCUACGGGAGGCAGCAGUAGGGAAUCUUCCGCAAUGGACGAAAGUCUGACGGAGCAACGCCGCGUGAGUGAAGAAGGUUUUCGGAUCGUAAAACUCUGUUGUUAGGGAAGAACAAGUACCGGAGUAACUGCCGGUACCUUGACGGUACCUGACCAGAAAGCCACGGCUAACUACGUGCCAGCCGCCGCAGUAACAC
rnacentral:rRNA from 1 species